rnacentral:rRNA from 1 species
UAGGGAAUCUUCCGCAAUGGACGCAAGUCUGACGGAGCAACGCCGCGUGAGUGAAGAAGGAUUUCGGUUCGUAAAACUCUGUUGUUAGAGAAGAACAGCGCAUAGAGUAACUGUUAUGCGUGUGACGGUAUCUAACCAGAAAGCCACGGCUAACUACGUGCCAGCAGCCGCGGUAAUACGUAGGUGGCAAGCGUUGUCCGGAUUUAUUGGGCGUAAAGCGAGCGCAGGCGGUUAGAUAAGUCUGAAGUUAAAGGCAGUGGCUCAACCAUUGUAGGCUUUGGAAACUGUUUAACUUGAGUGCAGAAGGGGAGAGGGGAAUUCCAUGUGUAGCGGUGAAAUGCGUAGAUAUAUGGAGGAACACCGGUGGCGAAAGCGGCUCUCUGGUCUGUAACUGACGCGGAGGCUCGAAAGCGUGGGGAGCGAACAGG